rnacentral:rRNA from 1 species
UACGGAGGGUGCAAGCGUUAUCCGGAAUCACUGGGUUUAAAGGGUGCGUAGGCGGUCUAAUAAGUCAGUCGUGAAAUCGCUGGGCUCAACCCAUGCAAUUGCGAUUGAUACUGUUAGACUUGAAUGGGGUUGAGGCUGGCGGAAAUGCGACAUGUAGCGGUGAAAUGCUUAGAUAUGUCGCAGAACACCGAUUGCGAAGGCAGCCAGCUGGGCCUUUAUUGACGCUGAGGGCACGAAAAGCGUGGGGGAGCAAAACAGGA